UACGUAGGGGACUAGCGUUGUUCGGAAUUACUGGGCGUAAAGCGCUUGUAGGCGGAUUUGUAAGUCAGGGGUGAAAUCCCGGGGCUCAACCUCGGAACUGCCUUUGAUACUGCAAAUCUCGAGUCCGAUAGAGGUGGGUGGAAUUCCUAGUGUAGAGGUGAAAUUCGUAGAUAUUAGGAAGAACACCGGUGGCGAAGGCGGCCCACUGGAUCGGUACUGACGCUGAGGUGCGAAAGCGUGGGGAGCAAACAGG
rnacentral:rRNA from 1 species